rnacentral:rRNA from 1 species
AAACAUAGCCUACUAUUUAACUUAGGUACAACCCUGCCCUCUGACUUUUAACAGCCGCGGUAUCCUAACCGUGCUAAGGUAGCAUAAUCACUUGCCUAUUAAUUAUAGGCUAGAAUGAACGGGAUCACUCACUUAAACUUAUUUUUAUUUAAAUUUAAAUUAAACUUUAAGUCAAAAUACUAAAUUAAAAAGAAAGACAAAAAGACCCUGAAAACUAUUAGAAAUAAUUAGUUGGGGCAACUAUAGACCACUCUAGCGUCUAUUUUUUUUAACUCUUAAAAUCUAAAGUAUCCAGUUACUUCAGGGAUAACAGACUAAUUUUAUUAUUUAGACCCAAUAAAUAAUAAAGAUUGGCACCUCGAUGUUGGCUUAUAUUUCCUUCAUAUAGCAACAUAUAUAGAAGGCAGCUUGUUCAUCUGUUAAAUAUUUACAUGAGCUGAGUUC